GUGCCAGCAGCCGCGGUAAUACGUAGGUGGCGAGCGUUGUCCGGAUUUAUUGGGCGUAAAGAGCCCGCAGGCGGCUUGGCAAGUUUCAGGUGAAAUCUCCCGGCUUAACCGGGAGGGUGCCCGGAAAACUGCCAGGCUUGAGGCAUGGAGAGGGAUGCGGAAUUCCCGGUGUAGUGGUGAAAUGCGUAGAUAUCGGGAGGAACACCAGUGGCGAAGGCGGCAUCCUGGCCAUGUCCUGACGCUCAGGGGCGAAAGCGUGGGGAGCAAACCGGAUUAGAUACCCGGGUAGUCC
rnacentral:rRNA from 1 species